rnacentral:rRNA from 1 species
GACGAACGCUGGCGGCGUGCUUAACACAUGCAAGUCGAACGAAGUGGCGAACGGGUGAGUAACGCGUAAACAACCUGCCCUUCAGAGGGGGACAACAGUUGGAAACGAAUGCUAAUACCGCAUACUGAAGGCGGGGAUUGCGGCUGAUUAGCAAGUGUGAGGGGUGACGGCCCACCAUGGCGAUGAUCAGUAGCCGGUCUGUGAGGAGUGACGGCCACCUUGGGUCUGAGACACGGCCCAGACUCCUACGGGAGGCAGCAGGGGGGAAUCUUCCGCAAUGGACGAAAGUCUGACGGAGCAACUCCGCGUGAGUGAUGACGGCCUUCGGGUUGUAAAGCUCUGUGAAUCGGGACGCGGUACCGGAAUAGAAAGCCACGGCUAACUACGUGCCAGCAGCCGCGGUAAUUC